UCCCACUCUCCCUGACUGAGGAUGCAAGAUAUGCAGCCGAAUCCGAAUCCUACUCCAAGGAACUUCAAAUGGCAAUCUACAAGUCCUACGCUGUGGGUUUCUCUUGUUUAUGCUUCUUGCAACAUGCUUGACACCAGAUAAGGGGAGUAAAGAAGUUCACAGAGAAAAGGUACAAAGGCUCAUAUCAAGAUGUUAUAAAUGACAAGUGCAGAGACAGCUUUACAAAGACACUUCUUUGAAACAUCCCGACGCUCUGCGCAAGACUUGAAUAUGGCUGCAAUCAAUAAGCACAGUUAUUGAUUGGCUGACUGAGUAUUUUCCUUUAGUUUUAUUUCAAUAUGUUGCAUAAGGGAGUUAAUGUCACCUUGCAACCAACAUACUAAGCAAUGAUAUAUUGAAAACAAGAGGGUUGUUGCACAUAUUGAAGCCUCUCAGAGGUGCAGACCAUAACAACAGGGAUUGGGAAGUAAAAGACACAUCUUAUAGACAUGUCUUUUUAAAUAUAAUCGGUAACUAAUAUGUCAAAAUCUAACUUCAUUUACACUACGUGUAGCUAUUGGAAUAGCAUAUAUACAGUAUUAGAAUUGUUAAAAAAUAGCUCGCUUUUUUGGUUCAUACUAAAUAAAUUGCAGUAGAAUUCUAAUGUAUGCAUCAUUACGCCAGUGUGUGUUUUUUGUGUUUGAGGGACAACUACAACUUCUAAUUCAGACAAGAAAGGGACUUACAUCCACAAUGAAGAAGUCCAGCCAACACCAAGCGUUGGUGAAGUACUUGACAAAACCAUAGGCCACCCAUUUCAGCAACAUCUCCAGGAUAAAGAUCCCAAGGGAGUCUCGGCGCUGUGGACUGGAGGUAAUGGGUGCCAUGGGAGCAGUGGUCUCACCAUCUGUCCAGCAUGCUUCUGGUUCCAUGUAUUCCUCCACCGGCUCCACCACCACCACCUCCUCCACAUCUGGCUUGAUGUCAAUCGUGCUUCCCUCUGAUGAGCUGGUGUCGUCCAGCUGCGAAGACAAAGAUGUUAUUUCAAUGUGAAUACACAGAAAUAUUUCCUUAACACAUAACUCCUAGUAAGGGGCCAAUUAGUAAAUGUAAAUAUUAUAUAAUCUCUUAGAGGAAAACAGCCUUAACAACAUUUAACACCAAAACCACUAACUUUAAGUCUAAAUUUCAUUCACAUUGUCAGCUCGGCUCAAAUGACAAUACUUGAGUUAUCGUAUUUGUAUUCAAGUUAAGAUUCUAUGUCCAAUCUAUAGACAGCAGUGUGUACACUUCCUUUCGUACAGACAUGUGAAAAAUGGGACUCUCCAUGAGGUUUGUAUUUGUUUGUAUAAGCUAGAGCCUCUAUAAGGAUGAAAAUUUGGCAAAACAUGCACCUGUACUGUGUUGCCUGUGAUAUUAUUUUUCUGACAAAUACACAACAUGUCAACACUCA